GUUGAUUUACCAGCAUGACAGUUUCAUAUGCAAUAUGUUAUGCAAUAAUGCAAAAUGUUAUGCAAUAAUGUUGGUUUUUAAUGCAAUCUUUACAAAAAAUGUUAUUACAUCAUAUGGGACAAUUUGCUUCUUAUGUCCAUGGCACAAAUGAGAGGUAUAGCAGUAAGCAUGAUUUUGAAACAGCUGUCAUGAGCUUUGUUAAUAGUUAUAUCAUAUUCAAUUCCCCUCAGUUACCAUGUAUGCAUGUGCAAGCAACAUUGGUAAGGAAGGAUUCGUGAACUUCCUGGAUAAACUUUUGGUGUUCACAGAGCACCGCAGAGGAGGACCUUAAUAAUUAAAAAUAAAAAAAUAAAGACUGAUAAAAACAAGAUUAACGGAUUCAACAGACUUUUUCAUAUCGUUCUAAUUUCUUCUACCUACUCUUACUCAGCGAUCAGCGGCAUUUUAUUUUGCUGAAAUAAUUUAUAGGACUUACAUAUGUCAAUCUAA